rnacentral:rRNA from 1 species
GACGAACCGUGCGAACGUUGUUCGGAAUCACUGGGCUUAAAGGGCGCGUAGGCGGGCGGCCGCGUCCGGGGUGAAAUCCCGCCGCUCAACGGCGGAACGGCCUCGGAUACGGGCGGCCUCGAGGGGGGUAGGGGCGUGCGGAACUCUGGGUGGAGCGGUGAAAUGCGUUGAUAUCCAGAGGAACUCCGGUGGCGAAGGCGGCACGCUGGACCCCUUCUGACGCUGAGGCGCGAAAGCCAGGGUAGCAAACGGG